AUUGAACGCUGGCGGCAGGCCUAACACAUGCAAGUCGAACGAGUGGCGGACGGGUGAGUAAUGUCUGGGAAACUUCCUGUUGGAGGGGGAUCACUACUGGAAACGGUAUCUAAUACCGCAUACCAUCAGAUUUGCCCAGAUGGGAUUAGCUAGUUGGUGGGGUAACGGCUCACCAAGGCGACGAUCCCUAGCUGGUCUGAGAGGAUGACCGGCAAAACGGGACGUGAGAAAGGGUCCAGGCUCCUAGGGGAGGAAGAAGUGGGGAAUAGUGGAAAAUGGGCGAAAGCCGGAUGAAGAAAGGCGGGGUGGAUGAAGAAGGCUUUGGGGUUGAAAAGUCCUUUAAGCGGGGAGGCGUUACCCGCAGAAGAAGCAACGGCUAACUACGUGCCAGCAGCCGCGGUAAUAC
rnacentral:rRNA from 1 species